rnacentral:rRNA from 1 species
CCUACGGGAGGCAGCAGUGGGGAAUCUUGGACAAUGGGGGAAACCCUGAUCCAGCGACGCCGCGUGCGGGAUGAAGACCUUCGGGGUGUAAACCGCUGUGGCGGGGGACGAAUAAGGCAGGGAGGAAAUGCCCUGCCGAUGACGGUACCCCGCUAGAAAGCCCCGGCUAACUACGUGCCAGCAGCCGCGGUAAU